rnacentral:rRNA from 1 species
CCUACGGGAGGCAGCAGUGAGGAAUAUUGGUCAAUGGGCGCGAGCCUGAACCAGCCAAGUAGCGUGAAGGAUGACGGCCCUGCGGGUUGUAAACCUCUUUUAUAAAGGAAUAAAGUGAGGCACGUGUGCCUUGUUGUAUGUACUUGAUGAAUAAGGAUCGGCUAACUCCGUGCCAGCAGCCGCGGUAAUACGGAGGAUGCGAGCGUUAUCCGGAUUUAUUGGGUUUAAAGGGAGCGUAGGUGGGUUGUUAAGUCAGUGGUGAAAGUUUGCGGCUCAACCGUAAAAUGGCCAUUGAGACUGGCAGUCUUGAGUACAGUUGAGGUAUGCGGAAUGCGUGGUGUAGCGGUGAAAUGCUUAGAUAUCACGAAGAACUCCGAUUGCGAAGGCAGCUUACUAGCCUGCCACUGACGUUGAUGCUCGAAAGUGUGGGUAUCAAACAGGAUUAGAUACCCGAGUAGUC